rnacentral:miRNA from 1 species
UACCUUGGCUAGGUGCAACGC